rnacentral:rRNA from 1 species
AACGAACGCUGGCGGCAUGCCUAACACAUGCAAGUCGAACGAGACCUUCGGGUCUAGUGGCGCACGGGUGCGUAACACGUGGAAUUUGCCUCGGGGUAUGGAAUAACUCAGGGAAACUUGAGCUAAUACCAUAUAAUGUCUUCGGACCAAAGAUUAUCGCCCUGAGAUAAGCCCGCGUAGGAUUAGCUAGUUGGUGGGUAAAGGCUCACCAAGGCGACGAUCCUUAGCUGGUCUGAGAGGAUGAUCAGCCACACUGGGACUGAGACACGGCCCAGACUCCUACGGAGGCAGCAGUGGGAAUAUUGGACAAUGGGCGAAAGCCUAGAUCCAGCAAUAGCCGCGUCGAGUGAUGAAGG